rnacentral:rRNA from 1 species
AUUGAGCGCUGGCGGCAGGCUUAACACAUGCAAGUCGAGCGGAGUGAUGGUGCUUGCACUAUCACUUAGCGGCGGACGGGUGAGUAAUGCUUAGGAAUCUGCCAUUUAGUGGUGGACAACAUUCCGAAAGGAAUGCUAAUACCGCAUACGUCCUACGGGAGAAAGCAGGGGAUCUUCGGACCUUGCGCUAAAUGAUGAGCCUAAGUCGGAUUAGCUAGUUGGUGGGGGAAAGGCCUACCAAGGCGACGAUCUGUAGCGGGUCUGAGAGGAUGAUCCGCCACACUGGGCCUGAGACACGGCCCAGACUCCUACGGGAGGCAGCAGUGGGGAAUAUUGGACAAUGGGCGGAAGCCUGAUCCAGCCAUGCCGCGUGUGUGAAGAAGGCCUUUUGGUUGUAAAGCACUUUAAGCGAGGAGGAGGCUCUCCUAGUUAAUACCUAGGAAGAGUGGACGUUACUCGCAGAAUAAGCACCGGCUAACUCUGUGCCAGCAGCCGCCGUAACAC